GCCUAUGUGGUGAAAUUGGUAGACACGCUAUCUUGAGGUGGUAGUAUUAAAAAUGCUGGUUCGAAUCCAGUCGUGGGCA
rnacentral:tRNA from 1 species